ensembl:lncRNA
AAUUUUUUUACAAAUUUAAUUGGAUUCAAUGCAACGUUAAAAUCAUGACAAAAUGUUAAAUAAUUUAUCUAAAAUUAAGAUGAAAACAUAAAAUAGAACCUAAUUCAAAAUCAUAAUAAAACCUAUAAUAGUAUCUCACUGAUACUAAAAUAACAUUAAAUCCAACAGAUAUAUAUAUAUUUUUUUUACAAAUUUAAUUGGAUUCAAUGUAACAUAAUAAUAUUGUGACAAAAUGUUAAAUAAUUUAUCUAAAAUUAAAAUGAAAACAUAAAAUAGAACCUAAUUCAAAAUAUAUAUUUAAAAAAAACCUAUAAUAGUAUCUCACUGAUACUUAAAUAAUAAGUAUCCAAAAAAAAAAAAAGUUGACCAUUUUACUGAUUUAAGUGUAAUUGAAUGUAAUGUAAUUUGGUUGUGACAAAAUGUUAAAGAACAGUGUUGCUUCAGUACAUCAAAUAAGGAGUAAAAAUCAUUUUUAGUACGUUUAUCACUCAGUAUAUGUUUAUCAAACCCAUGACAUCACUAGUUAAGCCACAUAACCUCCAGACCCUGAUGAUCACAGUGAUACAUUUUGUUCGUAGUUUCCUACUGAAGAAAGCUGGACACUGAUGAGAGUGACGUGUGAUGGGACCGGCUGCUUUCCUCUAAACCCUGUAAGUCCAGCAGUGCUGUUUGCUGUGGUAAUUUGCAGACUCCAGUGGGAACAGUGGCAUUCCUCAUGGCUUAAACGCACCAAUACUGCGGGUCAGAGCUCCAUUUGUCUUCUGUGUUUUUGCUCCAGAAAUAAACAAUGAUGAGAUCGAAGAGAAAGGGAAAAGAGAAACUGCCAGAUCGCCCAGAUCUUCUGUGAGUCAUUAUUCAGUUUGUUUGUUCUUCAAUGCAAAUGUUUCUUUCAGAAUUUUCACAGCAUUCUGAUGUUUUCUCUUGACAGAAAGUGCAGAACCGAGGCUUGUUCGGAGGUUAACUGGUCAACAACAGCACAAAAGAUGAUUAAUUUGGCACGUAUUCAUGAUAAAUACGGGCUGAAGAAGUUUUGGGAAGAGAAGAUCGAAAGCCACGUUCAGAGGAUAGGAAAUGAAGACUCGAGAAUGAAGAACAGCGCUUUAUCCAAGUUACGUGAGGAGUGGGUCCAGAGGCUUCAGUUUCAGAACCAGCAUGUGAUCGAGAGCAUGAGAGAGCAACAAAUAAGAAGAGCUCAGAGAGUUCAAGGGAUUUUAAGAGUUUAGAUGGCUUGAAUGAUUUUAGCACUUUUCUAACGCACUUCCUAAGAAUGCCUAACGUCAUAUAUCAGUAUAAAGUUCUGUUUCUUUAACUUAAAUGAGUUAAAGAGGGUUUUUUUUGCUGCAGACUUUGGGAGAGAAAGACACUAUUGCAGCCAUACACCAUUAAACACAACGUGAUCCUGCCUUCCAGCAUUCGUCUUUCAUAUAUGGCUCAUUGAUUAGAGUUUUCUUUUCAAUAAAAGUUAAAUAUCAUACGUUCA